AUUCAAUGAUGUGGGCAUUUUCUAAGUAGUUCCUUAAAUCUCUCCCAAGCUUUAUACAAGGAUUCACCUUCAAAUUGUUUGAAUGAGGUUAUAUCGUUCCUCAUUUU
rfam:Theobroma cacao cultivar Matina 1-6 chromosome 4, whole genome shotgun sequence.